GCAAACUGGAGACAGACUAUUUUUGACUCCAUAAAUGCCCUCUCGUAUCUGGGUUGGAGGGCCUCACAGAAACUAGUUGCUCUGAAGUUUGUGUGGCAUGGCCUUAGAAAGGACGUACAUAUGAAUGGCUGAGAAAUGGAGAAAUGGAGGGGAAAUCUCCCAGCGUCACUGGCUAAUUAAUCAAAAUAGAAACCUUGUCAUCUUGACGGACUUGACAGGUGAAUGUGGAACAUACACCUGUGUUGCUACUAAUCCUGUCAGCUCUGUCCAGCCAAAUUACACCUUAAAUCUCCCAGGUAAGUUUCAUUUAUGGAUGUAGAUGUCCUCUUGAGAGCAAACUUUAUGAUCUUUGUGAACUUUGCAAUGCAGCCUGUUUAUAUUACACUGUAUCAAGGAGAGCACACAGCAGGUUUAAUGGAAUUGUUACUGUGACUUAAAAAGGGCUUUGACAGGGUGAGGAAGGGUAACUUCUGGCUGGGAAACAGGAUCGUUAAUUAGUUGUCACUCAGAAAGAGGAAGGAUCAGGAGAAGUCCUUUACUGGGGUUGUUGGAGUCUGGGCUGUUCUGUGACAUGGAUUGAGUGAGGUAAGUGGUCAUUGAUUUUAAAACACUGCAGUUUCUGAAUUCCAGUCUGUUUCUGAUCCAAAUGUUUCUCAUGCCAGUCCACAGCUGCCAACCAAUUAACUCAUGGAUUCACAGAGCAUGGGGAAGGGCCUUUCCUACCCACCAGAUUUGCAGUGUGAUUCAAGAGUCACUCUCAGUCACUUUCCAUCAACUGACAACUUGCUCCCAGUCUUUGGGACCUGCUCCCAAUGGGGGAGAUGCCCACAGUUCUAUUUUAUAGUUCCCUGAGAAUCUGUAGUGUCCCUUCAGCACACAGUCCCAGAUAAACCCUGCAGGAGGGCUAACAAAGUGUUCUCUGAGAAUGAAUGCUUAGUCGAGAUCCUGUCUGUUCUGCUUGGGUGGAUGAGAUAUAAUAAUAACCAGUCCACUCAUUUCAGGAGGCACAUAUAUCACUCAACCAAUAGUCACAAAGUUGAUUCUCUGUUUUUUCACAUUGAACUUUACUGAGCUCUAAUUGCAAGUCCCACAUUGCAAGAGUGACCACAUUUAAGGUAUUCUAUCAUCUGGGAACUUAUCGGAAUAAUUGGAAUUUGUAGAUGCUAUUUUUUUAAUAUCUGUAGAUUUAUUGACUGAACCCACUGCGAAACUAAGUGCAUGGAAUAUUAUUAAUGCAGGUGUUACAGAAUAUCAUGUGCACCACCCAUUCUUGCUUUGAAUGGCAACUGUUUCUGACAGCAAUUCAUCUGGGCAAAAAAGAAAAAUCAAUCAUGAAACCUUGAGAACCAGACCCAAGCAGGAAUGGCAUGUCCACUGCCUAAAGAAAUUCAACAUGACAGUUGGGUUGUGACUGAUGUUGGGGCACUUUCAGAUAUUUUCGCCAGUACUGUGUAAUUUAUUAUGUAAAUAUUUUCUUUUCUUUUUCAAUAUUUUUAUUAAUUACUUGCGUAGACGAAUACAAAAUACAUUAUGGUAUUAUGGAAACAGAAACAUGAUUGAAUUUCCCCAUAACUAUGUAUUGUAAAUCAACCUUAAUAUUGAAAAAGUAUAUUUUAUUCUAAUCUAAAGCAAAAACAAAACCCAAUAACAAAAUAAACCCCAUAAAAAAAGAGAGAAAGAAAACAAAUUAAAGCUGUUUGGUUAAAAGAAAAGAGAAGAAAAAUCUUCGACAUAUAGUCGUACAUUCAAACAUAUAAUAGCCAUCAUCAUUGCUGACCAAAUCAAAAAUUGUGAAAGUAGUUUCAAAAAGGUCCCCAUGAUGUGAAGAAAUCUUGUCUGGGUAUUGAAAUAGAACACCUAAUCUUCUCUAGAUUUAAACAUGACAUAACAUCAAUCAACCAAUGUGCAUGAGUAGGCGGAGCGGCAUCUUUCCAUUUAAGCAACAAAAUUCUUCUGGCUAAAAGAGAAAUAAGAUCCAAAAUAUGUAAAUCAUUCAGCAUAAGAGUAAAAUCAUUUCCUCCAACAAUGCCAAACAAAGCAGUCAGAGGGUUGGGUUUAAAGUUUACUUUAAAAAGCUCUGAGAAAGUUUGAAGUACUUCUUUCCAAAAUUUAUCAAGCCACGGGCAGGACCAAAACAUAGGAAUUAGAGAGGCAAACACGAGGAAUUCUGCAGAUGCUGGAAAUUCAACGCUGCGUUCACCAGCAACUUUGAUGUGUGUUGUUUGAAUUAGAGAGGCCUCUUCGACAUUACACCUAUUACAGUAUGGAGAAAAAUCUGAGUAAAAAUGAGAGAGCUUAUCUUUAGUCAUAUAGGCUCUAUGAAUGACUUUAAAUUGUAAAAGAGAGUGACGUGCACAUAACGGAGAGGUGUGAACAAGUUUAAAAAUUUCAUUCCAAGUCUCCUCAUCAAUUGAAAUCUGUAGGUCAUGUUCCCAGAGGUUUUUAAUUUUGUCCAAUGGAAUGUUUAUCCAUUAUGAAAAGGUUUCAAAGUAAAAAUUGUAUCUAUUAAAUUCUUAUCUGGACAUUUAGGAAAUGUAUAAAGUUGAGAAUGCAAGAAGUCUCGAAUUUGUAAAUGUCUAAAAAAAAGAGCUUUACGAAGAUUAUAUUUAAGAGAUAGUUGAUCAAAUGAGGAAAGACUCUCCAACAAACAGAUCCUGAAAACAUUUAAUACCUAGUCUAUUCAACGCUUUAAAAACUACAUCAGUCACAGAAGGUUUAAAAAAUAAUUAGAAAAAAUGGGACUAGAGAGUGAAAAACCAAAUAACCCAAAGAAUUUUCUAAAUUGUAACCAAAUCCACAAAGAAUGUUUAAGUACAAAAUUAUCAGUUAAGUUACUCAAGGAUAAAGGAAUUGAACAACCAAAAAGAGAAAUAAUAGAAAAUUGUUCAUUUUCGCCAGUCCUGUGUAAUUUAUUAUGUAAAUAUUUUAAUUGCAGGUAUUUCCAGUGAAGACUCUAUAAUUAUUAUUGCAUUGAUCUCAGGGCUGGUAUUUUCUUUGCUAUGUCUUGGUGGAUCAUUGCUUCUGUGGUGUUUGGAGAAGAAAUCAAAGUGAGCGUCUUUGAGCUUGAUGAUUUGCAGAGUUCUAUUUCUUGCUGCUACCUUUGUUGCACUUGCCUCAUGGAUUGGGAUUAAAGGUGCCAACUUCAUCCCCACUGUUGCAUUAUGCAUGGUGGGUGUUCAUCUUAUGGCCAUUGUUGCAUCUGUUGCCAUUCAGAAGUCCAGCUGCUUGUUUACUGAGGAAUUCCAAGAAAAGAAAGAUUCUCAUCCUUCCACUUGCUUGAAUGAUACGAUUGUGAUCCUCAUUUUGGUCACUAUUUUGAUGGAGGAGAUUCAGCAAAGCAAACAAAGUUGUCACACCAGCAUUUAUACAUGAACUGUACCUACUGCGUUGAUGGUCAGCGGUGUCACUGUCAUCUCUGUGUUCCUUGCAACGUAUCGCUUGUUGAUCUUGAACGCUGUGCAGUUACACAACAGCAAUGUCCACCCUUCAAUACCAAAUGUCUAUGCAGUACACAUGAAGGAACGGUACUGGAAUUUGGAAGUCUUGCUGAAGCACAGACAGUACAGCAAUUGUAGGGUAAUGUAAUUGUUGGAAAUGUACAGGAUUCACAACCACGAACAUUGGGUUGGGAUUUACUUUAAGAGGUUUGUCUGACAUGAUGAGGUAAUUAUAUAGAGGGCCUUUAGUGUGCUUUCUAUUCAGUUCCUCGAUGUUGAAUAAAUGGUUUGCUACAUAUUUUUCUAAGCAUAAAUUUCCUCCACUGUUUUAUUUCUGAAAACUGACAUUGGUGAUCCCGAUGCUCUUGGAUGAUUCCAGAGGUAUUUGUGACGAAAAACAAAGUUAUCAGAAGAUUGAUACUGAUGAGAGAGAUAAGGGAGACAAAUGGAGAAGCGUUCAAAAUGUUAAUGAGAGAGGAGAGAGAGGUAACGGAAAAGAAACACAAUUAAGAGUAUUGACAGACCGGUUGCUUUGAACCUGAACUGUUUGAAGUUUGAUGGACAGGCGAUACCCCAGCAGGGGGAUAAAAAGAACAGGUUCGCUAAGGCACGACACACCACGAGAUCACGAGAUAACAAGACCCUGGAAAAGCGGUGCGCCCCCACAAGUUGGUGAGAGUUUGGAGGUCUGGUCGCGGGACCGACCAUAGACGCAUAGGGUGAAGAGGUACGAUUGGCGGGAACCUGGUGUGUGUGUCCGCCCUUGCCUGGGUGCCGGGUUCACUGCAGAAGAACGGUCGUAUCAGGAACGGAGGGGUCACAGUCGGUGACCACAGAAGACAUAAAAAGGGUUCGCCCGAAAGCUAACUGCGAAGAACAAAGGUCUGUUUGAAUCAGAAUUUGCAUAUCUCCCUCCCUCUCUCCCCAACGGCACAACAGCGAUUACUGCGAACUGUCCUAGGCUGAACUGAAGUCUGAGUCACUUGAGACUGAUCAUUUUACCCCUAGACUGCGAUAGAGCUUGUUUGAUUCCUAUUACCCUAGUUCUGUGUACAUGUGUGUUUUAUCAUUGCUAAUCUGUUGCAUUCAUAUCCUUACGAUUAGAGUGCUGUGUUACUUAUUUCUUUAAUAAAAC